rnacentral:rRNA from 1 species
GACGAACGCUGGCGGCGUGCUUAACACAUGCAAGUCGAACGGUGAUGCUCCAGCUUGCUGGAGUGGAUCAGUGGCGAACGGGUGAGUAACACGUGAGCAACCUGCCCCAGACUCUGGAAUAAGCGCUGGAAACGGCGUCUAAUACUGGAUACGAAACUGGCCCGCAUGGGCAUGGUUUGGAAAGUUUUUCGGUUUGGGAUGGGCUCGCGGCCUAUCAGCUUGUUGGUGAGGUAAUGGCUCACCAAGGCGACGACGGGUAGCCGGCCUGAGAGGGCGACCGGCCACACUGGGACUGAGACACGGCCCAGACUCCUACGGGAGGCAGCAGUGGGGAAUAUUGCACAAUGGGCGAAAGCCUGAUGCAGCGACGCCGCGUGAGGGAUGACGGCCUUGGGGUUGUAAACCUCUUUCAGCAGGGAAGAAGCGAAAGUGACGGUACCUGCAGAAGAAGCACCGGCUAACUACGUG